rnacentral:lncRNA from 1 species
GGUCAUGAGAAUCUAUCCAUCUGAUACUAUGAAAUAUAUAUUUGGUCUUCAUCCCCCUCCAAAGGACUGUCUUUUUGUAUGCCAAUACUGACUGAUAGCUUCAGGAUGGGCCUGGUCACUGGAAAGACAAGAGUAUGAUUAGAGUUGGGACUUGCAGCACCCCCCACAAACUCUAGGAGGAGAGAGGAGUGGAGGGUCAAGUUGAUCACCAAUGGCCAAUGGUUUAAACAAUCAU